UACGUAGGGGCAAGGCGUUGUCCGGAAUCAUUGGGCGUAAAGAGCGUGUAGGCGGUUCGGUAAGUCGGCUGUGAAAGUCAAGGGCUCAACCCUUGAAUGCCGGUGGAUACUGUCGGGCUAGAGUCCGGAAGAGGCGAGUGGAAUUCCUGGUGUAGCGGUGGAAUGCGCAGAGUAUCAGGAGGAACACCAAUAGCGAAGGCAGCUCGCUGGGACGGUACUGACGCUAAGGCGCGAAAGCGUGGGGAGCGA
rnacentral:rRNA from 1 species